CUGAUAUUUGGUUGUAGCCUUUGGCAUCUUGGUAGGAACAUUUGGUUGAAAUGUAAAUCUUUAAGCUUCUGAGUUCAUGUCCUCUUACUAAAGAGAUGUCCACAAUACUCAUGAAAUCUCUAUUCUGCUGUUAAGUGGGUUAAUAGAUGCGCAUGACAUCCAGAUGUUCCUCAGCAAAUGGUGCCCCAGUAUCUCUCUUCAGUCUGGCCCAGGUGACAGACCACUGCCUGGGUCUGCAAGGGCCUUUCAGAUCCCAGCAAACCACCAGGCAUUGUCUGGCCUAAACAGCCAUCCCCAACACCAUGAAUGGGAAGAAUAAGGGUGAGCUGGUUUGAAUGGAAGACCUACUUUACAGACGGAUGAUGUCUUGCGCUCUCUCUCUUUCUUAUGGAGCUUAUUGUCUGUCAAGGCCACUGGAGAGGAGAUUGAUUUUAGGAUUAAACUCCAGGGCUGGCGGCAUUAACCAGACAGAUGAAGGAAUAUGCGCUUGUGUCUGUCUGAAGUCACGUCCAUGUAAAUGACUGUGCAAGAAUUUGACUGCCAUGUAAGCAGAGUGAAGCAUGCAGCUUUGAUAAAGUCGAUAUCAAACCACCAAUUAAAACGUUUUGUCCCGAUGGCCACUAUGUGCGUGAUGUAAAGAGUGAAGGCUUUGGGUGUCGACUAGGGGUUGGGGGACAAAUAUGUCCUUGUGAAAGUGGGGCAUUAAAUUAGGGUGUUUAAAACGUCAGAGAGAUUAGAUGUAGGCGGGGUCAGGGCACCAAAUGAUGAGGUUGUUGUUGCUCUGGGGCGAUGCUGGCCUCUGAUCCAUGUGAAUGAGAAUAAUGGCCAUUUCAAUCCCAACCAACAGCCAUCAUACUAAGGGAGACAGGCUUUGCUUCAUCUGUCAGAGCAAAUUUAAGACCUGGGAACAUUGGUGUUUGUCUUUCAGUGGCCAGGGUUUGGGGCUAAUGCUGUGUCAGCUUAUCUUUUGAAUGAUGUAACCCUUUGGGUGGUACUAAAGAUUUAUAAAUCUUUGUCUUAUGUUCUUGUUUUUUUGGUUCCAUCUCAAGCAUGAAGUCUUGAUUUUCUUGUUUCAGAAUUAACAGACAAAAAGAAUCCAAAUACUAGAAAGAUUUGUUUCAAAAGAAAAUGUGAGUGGAUGUAAAACUAGCUUCCAAGGUGUUGUUGUAUGGUUGCUAGGGUGCUUUGAGUGGUGGC
ensembl:lncRNA